AUUGAACGCUGGCGGCAGGCCUAACACAUGCAAGUCGAGCGAGCGGCGGACGGGUGAGUAAUGUAUGGGGACUGCCCGAUAGAGGGGGAUAACUAAUGGAAACGGUGGCUAAUACCGCAUACUAUCGGAUAACCCAUAUGGGAUUAGCUAGUAGGUGGGGUAAAGGCUCACCUAGGCGACGAUCUCUAGCUGGUCUGAGAGGAUGAUUAGCCACGCGAGGACAUAGAAACGGCCCAGACGACUACGGAGGCAGCAGGGGGGAAUAUUGCACAAUGGGCGCAAGCCUGAUGCAGGCAUGCCGCGUGUAGGAAGAAGGCCUUAGGGUUGUAAAGUACUUUCAGCGGGGAGGCGUUACCCGCAGAAGAAGCACCGGCUAACUCCGUGCCAGCAGCCGCGGUAAUUC
rnacentral:rRNA from 1 species